GAUGAAGAACGUAGCGAAAUGCGAUAACUAAUGUGAAUUGCAGAAUUCAGUGAAUCAUCGAGUCUUUGAACGCACAUUGCGCCCCCUGGUAUUCCGGGGGGCAUGCCUGUCCGAGCGUCAUUGCUGCCCUCAAGCACGGCUUGUGUGUUGGGCCGCCGUCCCCCCGGGGACGGGUCCGAAAGGCAGCGGCGGCACCGCGUCCGGUCCUCGAGCGUAUGGGGCUUUGUCACCCGCUCUGCAGGCCCGGCCGGCGCUGGCCGACGCUUCGCACCGAAGCAACCAACCUUCUCUCCAGGUUGACCUCGGAUCAGGUAGGGAUACCCGCUGAACUUAAGCAUAUCAAUAAGCGGAGGA
rnacentral:misc_RNA from 1 species